AUUGUCACUAAAAAACAAUGCCUUGAGUGCUGAUUAUAGCUGUCUGUGUGCUCCAUGCUAAGGCACAACUGUUUCAGGAUGUGGAAGAUCUCUUUGACCACUUCAUUAUGAAGGAAAAUACAGACAAAGGCAGAAAUACACAUUCGGUUUAGUGCUGCAAUGCUUGAAAUACUUGUUUGGUGUCAUUCCAGCUGAACAGGCUGUAUCCUGUGCCUGUGCUCCCCACCACAGUUGUUACACAGACUUUUUGUAGCCUUCCCCUUUCUUCAGCAGCUCCUUUGCAGCCUCAUGCUGGCUGACACCAAGAAAUGCCCCCCUGUUUAUCCCACUGGACAUUGAAGAAUAAUUUUGCCACUCAGCUGGUAAGUUUUAAAGACAAACUGAAGAACUGCCUUAUACACUGCUCGCAAGCUGGUGCUUCUGCAAAACUGCCUGCUUUGUUUCAGUCAGAGCAAUCCAUAGCCCUCAGUCCUAACCCAGUGACAGCUUAAUGCCUAGAGUGUCACUCCUGCAAAUGACCUCUCUCCCUUACGUUGAGUAGCUGAGAUGUCAGUGCUAAGAGCCAGUGGUACUGUAACCCUAUUACUUGGUCCUCAGAGCCACAUUUGAUUGUGUUCUUUGGCAGCAACAGGAAAUAAAUGCACUCAUUUCUCAUUUCGGUGUCACCGCCGAGGUAUAGCAGCGCAACUAAGUUACAUGCCAGAGCAAAUAAAUCCACUUGGCAGCAGCAGCUGCACUUGUUUUCUCUCACCAUGCAAAACCUCAGAUGGUGUAAGCACUCCAGAGGAGAGCAGACAUGUCCCACUCUCUUUCUGGGACAUCAGAAGGAGCAGAACGAUUCAGGUGAUACUGCAACACUGAGUGACUUCCUCGUGCCUUUUAACCCUUCCACAUCAGGAAUUUGUGCUGAGACACAAAUACAGGUCUUGAGAACUUCUACUUUCUGUCGGAUGAGUUCCUUUUGGGGCAGAAAGCGACUCCUUUAGGAAGCUCUCUAGCAGCAGGAUCCACCUCACAGUUCCUGAAGGACCGAGCAAUACGAACAUCAUCUUCGACUUGUAUGUCUCUCUGGGGGCAUCCUGGACCUUCUGCUUCCCAGCUGUGGGGGUGAGGAGAAGCAGCAGCCCCCAGAGGAGAGUGUGACACAUCCACCCUAUGGCAUUAUCACAGAAACCUCUGACACGUCACACGCUUCUAGAAAUGCAAACCACCCUGCUGUUAUUUCUAUGCCCUACGUGUUCCCGCCAUCUUUAGAGGAAACAGCGACCAGAAAGCAAACCAAGCAAUGGAAGUAAACCAAAAGCAAAGAACAACCACCGCCACGCUUAAACAAAACAAACAAAAACCCACACGAAAAGAAAAACAACAAAACCAAACCACCCCAAACAGGAAGGGCGGUGUCCUCAAGAUGUACGGUGGCAGUUUUACGGUUUGGCUGACUGCUUCCUGAGCGGCUGAGCCCUCGGGACUGCCCCGCUGUUGCUGUUUCGGCACGCUGCUGCUCCCCGUUCCGCACUGCGCGCCGGUGAAGGGCAGCCCCGCUCUCUGUCGCUUCUCACGCUGCGGCCAGUCGGUCGGCUCCGGUCAGCCGUAAG
ensembl:lncRNA